AAACUAAGAAAGAAUGUGGAGCUAUUAUUGAUGGCUGGAGGAGUGCCUUGGGGGAGGGAGGAAAUACUGUGUCGGGGGAAAUGAUGAAAAACGGGAAAGGUGAGAUUGCCAAAAGCUUAUCCCUUCAUAAUUUUCCAGGGGGCCUGUCUUACUCAGAAGCAAUGAAAUGGCUUUGCUGAGCCAUGUGGAAGGGUCAUGUGGAAGAGUCUAGCAGUUGGGAGCUCUAAUGUGUUCCCCGUUAUUAACAUGGAUGUAGGGAGAACUCCCACUGGAGCAGCCUACAGACACUUGGCCUUCUCGGUUCUGGCUUUCUGGGCUACGCAGCCUCCGAGUGAAAUAUACUUCUACUGCCUGCCCCAGCGAGCUCGUGGCAGCGCCUGUAAGGCGGCGUUCAGAAGCCUUCAGAAUCCCCAUGGGCCUUUCACGAAUGAUGGACCCAAAGUGUUCUUGACCAAAAAGUCUUU
rnacentral:lncRNA from 1 species